ensembl:lncRNA novel transcript
CAGCAGGAUUAAGAAAAUUGUUCAUUCAAUUGUGUCAUCCUUUGCAGUUGGAAUAUUUGGAGUUUUCCUGAUCUUGUUGGAUGUGGCUCUGAUCUUUGCUGACCUAAUUUUCACUGAUAGCAAAGUUUAUAUUCCUUUGGAGUAUCAUUCUAUUUCUCUAGCUAUUGCUUUAUUUUUUCUCAUGGAUGUUCUUCUUCGAGUAUUUGUAGAAGGGAGACAGCAUUAUUUUUCUGAUUUACUUAACAUUUUAGAUACUGCUGUUACUGUGAUUAUUCUGCUGGUUGAUGUCGUUUACAUUUUUUUUGACGUUAAGUUUCUUAAGGAUAUUCCCAGAUGGACACGUUUAUUUCGACUUCUACGACUUAUCAUUCUGAUAAGAGUUUUUCAUCUGGCUCAUCUAAAAAGACAACUUGGAAAGCUGAUAAGAAGGCUGGUUUCAGGAAACAAAAGGUGAUACGAAAGUGAUGGAUUUGACCUAGACCUCACUUAUAUUACAGAACAUAUUGUCGCUAUGUCGUUUCCAUCUUCGGGAGGCCAGUCUUUCUAUCGGAAUCCAAUUAAGGAAGUCAUACAGUUUCUAGACAAAGAAACAUCCAAACCACUAUCGAGUCUACAAUCUAUGCAGUGAAAGAGCUUAUGAUCCUAAGCACUUCCAUAAUAGGGUCAGUAGAAUCAUGAUCGAUGAUCAUAAUGUCCCCACUCUACGGGAGAUGGUAGCAUUCUCCAAGGAAGUGUUGGAGUGGAUGGCUCAAGAUUCUGAAAACAUCGUAGUGAUUCACUGUAAAGGAGGCAAAGGAAGAACCGGAACUAUGGUUUGUGCCUGCCUGAUUGCCAGUGAAAUAUUUUUAACUGCAGAGGAAAGAUUGUACUAUUUUGGAGAACGGCGAACAGAUAAAACCAAUGGCACUAAAUAUCAGGGAGUAGAAACUCCUUCUCAGAAUAGAUAUGUUGGAUAUUUUGCACAAGUGAAACAUAGCUACAACUGGAAUCUCCCUCCAAGAAAAACACUGUUUAUAAAAAGAUUCGUUAUUUAUUCGAUUCAUGGUGUUGGAACAGGCGAUGGAUAUGAUCUAAAAGUCCAAAUAGUAAUGAAGAAAAAGAUUGUCUUUUCCUGUACUUCCUUAAAGAAUUGUCGGGUAUUUCAUGACACUGAAACAGACAGGGUAAUAACUGAUGUGUUCAACUGUCCACCUCUGUAUGAUGAUGUGAAAGUGCAAGCUUCCUCUUCAGACAAAAAAUAAUAUCCAAAGAUAUUUUGGCACUAACAGCGCUAUCUGUAGCAAGAAAGUUGAGCAGUGUGAACUGUUGAGACUUCCAAGAAGACUUCAGAGAACCAAGACAGUGUAAAGGAAAACAGGAAAAAAGACUUGUUAGACAUUAUUAAGGGCACGAAAGUUGAAUUGAGCACAGUAAAUGUACAAACAACAAAGCCACCCAACAGAAGUCCACUUAAAAGCUACAACUGGCCCGCCUCAAAGAGCUACAGAGCAUGCUCCAAAGAAGAGAAAUGAGCCCGUGAGUCCUGAGUUGGUGGCAGCUGCAUCUGCUGCUCUGUUUUGACAAGCAAACAAGCCAGAACUGCUCAGGCAGCUCCGUAGCAUGAGGAAGAGUCAGGGGCACAGAGAGAUGGAGAGAGACCUAGUUAGAGAGCGAACCAUGUGCUGGAUUUAGCCAGUCCUGCAUUUUUCUAUACUUCAAAUCAAAACGGGCCAUGCUUCACAUCUACCCAUGAUGAAUAGGGGUACUUUGAUUAAGAAUAAAUAGAGCUGACUGAAUUCUGAACAAGAAAAACAUAUUCAAGGGGAAGAGAUGUAAUAGUUUUGACGUGACGACAGUUACUAAAGAAGCACCUGAACAGACACAUCACCUUCACUUUGGGAUGUGGAAUUUGCUAAAUAAGCCACAGAAAAUGAACAUCCCUUCAGAAUGGGUUUGAAGAGCUGAUCCAGUGGAUUAAAGAGGGGAAACUGGGAGUUUCCAAUUAACAAUGAAGCAGGAGCUGACUAAGGCUUUGGAACAGAAACCAGAUGAUGCACAAUAUUAUUGUCAAAGAGCUUAUUGUCACAUUCUUCUUGGGAGUUACUAUGGAUCUGUAAAUAACUGACGAAAAACCCAUCUGUUUCUACGUAGUUGCUGUUGCCGACACAAAGAAGUCUUAUGAACUCAAUCCAAAUAAUUCCACUGCUAUGCUGAGAAAAGGGGGCUGGCGGCAUGGAGUCUUGCUCUGUCACCCAUCCUCGAGUGCAAUGGCACCAUCUUAGUUCACUGCAGCCUUGAAUUCCAGGGCUCGAGCCAUCCUUCUGCCUCUGCCUCCUGAGUAGGUGGGACUACAGGCAUGUGCCACCAUACUGAGCUAAUUUGUUAAACACUUUUUUUGUAGAGACGAGGUCUUGCUACGUUUCCCAGACUGGUCUCUGAACUCCCGGCCUCAAGUGAUCCUACUGCCUUGGCCUCCCAAAGUACUGGCAUAAUAGACAUGAGCCACUGCACCUGGCUCCUAAGUUCUUUUCUUGAAUAAUAUCUUUCUUUUUUUUUAUUUUUUGAGGUGGAGUCUCACCCUGUUGCCCAGGCUGGAGUGCAAUGGCGUGAUCUCGGCUCACUGCAACUUCUACCUCCCGGGUUCAAGUGAUUCUCCUGCCUCAGCCUCCUGAAUAGCUAGGAUUACAGGCGUGCGCUACCACGCCUGGCUAAUUUUUUGUGUCUUUAGUAGAGAUGCGGUUUCACCAUGUUGGCCAGGCUUGUCUCGAACUCUUGACCUCGUGAUCCACCCGCCUUGGCCUCCCAAAGUGUUGGGAUUACAGGCGUGAGCCACCACGCCUGGCCAAGUAAUAUCUUAAUAUCAUGCCAUUGACAUUUAUCCUCUAAUUAUUUCAGAGGUGGCCUUCAGAAGAAGGCCUCUUUGGUAAAAUUGCUAUUGAGGAUAUUUCACUGAAAAACAAAUUUAUCUUUAAAUUUAAAUCCAGGAAAAAUUUAAACUUUCAGGCUUCUAUUUUUAUCAGACAGGGUAAAAAAUUUAUAACUCAGAAUAUUACCCUUUCCCCUCUUUGUGUGAUGGAUUGCUUGGUUUUAGUUACUGAUUAUUUAAAAUAAUAAGUUAUUCAAAUCUAGGAUUUUGAUACAAUAGUUCUUCUCUAGAAUAUAGUGUGUGUGUGAGAGUAUAUUUAAAAUUUUUAUUAAGGCCCAUGGGGCAGCCUUUGAGGAAACCAGACCUUGGGGAUCGCCAGGCAGGAUUAGUGGCAGGAAUUGAGAGAACAGAGCCCCACAGAGCUCCUCGGGGACCGUCCCCCAGUCACAAGAGUAUCUCAAGGAAGUAGUCUUCUCCCACAUCCCCCAAAGAUAACUACCAGAGGGUCAGUUCUCUGAGCCCUUCUCAGUGUAGAAAAGACAAGUGUCAAAGCUUCCCCACUCACCCUGAGUUUGCCUUCUAUGACAAUACGUCGUUUGGCCUCACUGAGGCUGAGCAGAGGAUGCUGGACCUCCCAGGAUAUUUUGGGUCAAAUGAAGAGGAUGAAACCACAAGUACACUUAGCGUGGAGAAGCUGGUGAUCUAGACUGAGAAUCAGCCUGAGCUUAACACAGCUGGGGUCUGCUACUCGCGUUUUGUAGACUUUUGUGUAACUAUUUGUACCGUAGGACAGAAUGUGAGGAGGAAGUAACACACACAGAGGAGGAUGUGUGUGUGUGCAUGUGUUUGAAUUCACAAGGAAGAAAUUAUUUAUCUUGAGCUUUUUCCUUUGUUAUUCAGUUUUUAUUGGUUUAUUACUAAUAAUGAUAAUAAAAUGUAAACAAGAGCAAA